rnacentral:tRNA from 1 species
UAAAAAAGAUAAGCUAAUAAAGCUACUGGGCUCAUACCCCUAUUAUAAAGGUUUUAGUCCUUUUCUUUUU